GAUGAACGCUGGCGGCGUGCCUAAUACAUGCAAGUCGAGCGAACAGACGAGGAGCUUGCUCCUCUGACGUUAGCGGCGGACGGGUGAGUAACACGUGGAUAACCUACCUAUAAGACUGGGAUCACUUCGGGAAACCGGAGCUAAUACCGGAUAAUAUAUUGAACCGCAUGGUUCAAUAGUGAAAGACGGUUUUGCUGUCACUUAUAGAUGGAUCCGCGCCGCAUUAGCUAGUUGGUAAGGUAACGGCUUACCAAGGCAACGAUGCGUAGCCGACCUGAUAGGGUGAUCGGCCACACUGGAACUGAGACACGGUCCAGACUCCUACGGGAGGCAGCAGUAGGGAAUCUUCCGCAAUGGGCGAAAGCCUGACGGAGCAACGCCGCGUGAGUGAUGAAGGUCUUCGGAUCGUAAAACUCUGUUAUUAGGGAAGAACAAAUGUGUAAGUAACUAUGCACGUCUUGACGGUACCUAAUCAGAAAGCCACGGCUAACUACGUG
rnacentral:rRNA from 1 species